GACGAACGCUGGCGGCGUGCUUAACACAUGCAAGUCGAACGGAAAGGCCCUGCUUUUGUGGGGUGCUCGAGUGGCGAACGGGGGAGUAACACGUGAGUAACCUGCCCUUGACUUUGGGAUAACUUCAGGAAACUGGGGCUAAUACCGGAUAGGAGCUCCUGCUGCAUGGUGGGGGUUGGAAAGUUUCGGCGGUGGGGGAUGGACUCGCGGCUUAUCAGCUUGUUGGUGGGGUAGUGGCUUACCAAGGCUUUGACGGGUAGCCGGCCUGAGAGGGUGACCGGCCACAUUGGGCCUGAGAUACGGCCCAGACUCCUACGGGAGGCAGCAGUGGGGAAUAUUGCACAAUGGGCGGAAGCCUGAUGCAGCAACGCCGCGUGCGGGAUGACGGCCUUCGGGUUGUAAACCGCUUUCGCCUGUGACGAAGCGUGAGUGACGGUAAUGGGUAAAGAAGCACCGGCUAACUACGUG
rnacentral:rRNA from 1 species